rnacentral:misc_RNA from 1 species
GAUGGAACGUAGCGAAAUGCGAUACGUAGUGUGAAUUGCAGAAUUCAGUGAAUCAUCGAAUCUUUGAACGCACAUUGCGCCCGCGAGUAUUCUCGCGGGCAUGCCUGUCCGAGCGUCAUUUCAACCCUCAGGGCCCGCCUGCUUCGGCAGGCGCGGCGCUGGUGUUGGGGAUCGGCCUAACCGCCGUCCCCCAAAUACAGUGGCGGUCUCGCUGCAGCCUCCCCUGCGUAGUAGCAACACUCGCAUGCGGAGCGCGGCGCGGCCACGCCGUAAAACCCCCGACUUUCUGAACGUUGACCUCGGAUCAGGUAGGAAUACCCGCUGAACUUAAGCAUAUCAAUAAGCGGAGGA